CUAUGCGCCUUGCCAGCCCGCUCAGUCAGAGUUUGAUCCUGGCUCAGAUCCUGCAGAUAACGCUAUUCAGCAACACAAGAAACACUAUCCUAUUGAGUGUCAGCGUGCAUUCAUUCCCUUUAUUCACUGGUUCAACAGAAAAUGAAUUCCCGUAUUUAGGAAUCUCCCAUUACAGUGGUUCGCAAACUGUAGGGUGUG
rnacentral:rRNA from 1 species